rnacentral:rRNA from 1 species
UAGUGGCGGACGGGUGACUAACGCGUGGGAAUCUGCCCUCAGGAGGGGGAUAACGGUUGGAAACGACCGCUAAUACCCCAUAUGCCGAGAGGUGAAACGAAAUUCGCCUGAGGAUGAGCCCGCGUCUGAUUAGCUAGUUGGUGGGGUAAAGGCCUACCAAGGCAUCGAUCAGUAGCUGGUCUGAGAGGAUGAUCAGCCACACUGGGACUGAGACACGGCCCAGACUCCUACGGGAGGCAGCAGUGGGGAAUUUUCCGCAAUGGGCGCAAGCCUGACGGAGCAACGCCGCGUGAGGGAUGAAGGCCUCUGGGCUGUAAACCUCUUUUCUCAAGGAAGAAGAACUGACGGUACUUGAGGAAUAAGCCACGGCUAA